AGUUUGGGUCUGCCGGUGAAAAAAAUAGGAGUUUAGUGCCGAUAUGAAAUUAACUUGUCAAUAUUUUGGAGGGCGUCCUUGCAUUUUCUCAGGGGUCGUCUGCACUCUGCAAAUUUUGCACUCUGCCGCGUCUGAGUAGUGACGAGAGACUCUUCUCUGUUUCCGGCUGCAGUCAUAUGGCUAGCGAAGCAGUUCAGAGCCGUCCAUUCUUUGUUGCUGUGCAUGUAGGGGCAGGGUUUCACUCUCCUUCCAACGAGAAAGCUCUCAGGUCCGCCAUGAACCGAGCUUGCCUCGCUGCUGCUUCUUUUCUUCGCAAGGGUUCUGGUGGAUGUUUGGAUGCUGUUUCGGCUGCUAUUAAAGUGUUAGAGGAUGAUCCAAGCACAAAUGCGGGCCGAGGGUCGAAUUUGACAGAGGAUGGUCAUGUAGAGUGUGAUGCUAGUAUUAUGGACGGUGAUUCUGGAGCAUUUGGAGCUGUUGGAGCAGUGCGAGGUGUCCGAAAUCCUAUUCAAAUUGCUGCUGCCUUGGCCAAGGAACAAAUGAUGGGAUCAUCUUUGCUGGGUCGAAUACCCCCAAUCUUCUUGGUUGGUGAAGGAGCCCACACAUGGGCAAAGUCCAAGGACAUUGUUUUUCCAGACUCGAUAAUAGAGGCUGAUGAGUGGCUGGUGACUGAAAGGGCAAAAGCACAAUGGCAGAGAUAUAAAUCAAUGCUUGAUGAUGCUAAGGCUAAGACAGGGAUUUCUGCAGUAGAACCUUCUUGUACUCCUCAAGAGAUUGUUGCAAUAUCAGAAUUAGCAGCUCAACCUUUUGAUCCUUCAAUGGGAAAUGGGGAUAACCAGUCAUAUACACCAAGUGUAUUGGAAGAUUACUGUAUUAUGGACACUGUUGGAGUAAUUUGUGUCGACGCUGAAGGACACAUUGCAUCUGGGGCCUCUAGUGGUGGUAUUGCACUGAAGGUCAGUGGACGUGUUGGAUUAGCAGCAAUGUAUGGUUCAGGUUGUUGGGCAUCCUCAAAAGGUCCGUUUGGGGCUCCGUUCAUUGUUGGUUGUUGUGUAAGUGGUGCCGGAGAAUACCUAAUGAAGGGAUUUGCUGCUCGGGAGUGUUGCAUCUCAUUAUCACUAUCACAGGCAGGUCCAGCUUCUGCUUGCAUGGAAGUUCUAAGAUCUGUUGUUCAAGAUUGCAGUCAACAGGGUACUGAUAGUAGUGCUGGAAUUUUGCUAGUGCAAGCUGAUGCCCUUGGAAUUGAUUCUGAAAACUCACCAAGGCUGGAAGCUAUAGAGAUUGCAGCUGCCUACUCUUCCUCAUCUUUUGGAAUUGGUUAUUUUGGGAACUCUAUGGAACGGCCCAAGGUUUCAAUUCUGAGGAGUACAAAACAGAAAAGCAGAACUGGGGUAGACCAUUUUGAAGCAAGAAUUGACCUUGCUACCCAAUAAUUAUUGUGUCCGGGCCAGUACAAACAAUUCUACAGAAUCUACUCCAGUAUUUCAAUUUUUCAGGACAAUUACUAUUUUUCGGAUGGGAAGGGGAGGGGGCUGUGGACAUGAGCUUUUGAUGGCUCUGCUGUUUCUUUCAUAAUUCUCGAAGAAUAAUUGCUUACCACCCUUGCUACUGGUUUGUUGGUUUGUGCAUGUUAUGCAUACAAUUCUUGAGCCUCUCUCUUUUAGCUCUUUUUUUUUCGUCUUGCAUAAUGGUAUUUGAAUGACAUUUCUUUGGGCCUUGCUUGGAACUUAAAAAAAUAUGAAGAGGAAAAUCUAUUGUGGAAGAAAUAAAAUAUGCUAUAAUUGAUGGAUAAAA